rnacentral:tRNA from 1 species
GGACGCGUGGCGCAGUGGUAGCGCACCUGAUUCCAGUCCAGGCGGUCACCCGUUCGAAUCGGGUCGUGUUCA